AAGCUUGUUGAAGGUCAUUCUCCUCCGGUGAACUUCGAGGUCAAUGGGCGGCACUACAACAAGGGGUACUAUCUAGCUGAUGGCAUCUAUCCGAGAUGGUCGACAUUUGUGAAGACCAUCUCAAACCCUGUGCCAGGAGGAAAGAACGCCUGGUUUGCGAAGAUUCAGGAGGCGUGCAGGAAGGAUGUCGAGCGGGCAUUUGGUGUGCUCCAAUCUCAAUUUGCUGUUGUCCGGUACCCCGCUCAGACGUGGUCCAAAGAUCAAAUGUGGGAGAUUAUGACUUGCUGUGUCAUCUUGCACAACAUGAUUAUCGAGAGCGAGCAAGAAGACCCAGUGUUUGACACUGAACCAUACUACAGGUAG
rnacentral:rRNA from 1 species